GGAGUUUUGCACGCCGCCGCUUCUCACCACCAACCCCACCGCUUCUCCGCGCCGAGGGGCGAGAAGCGGUGGUGUUGGUGGUGAGAAGCAGCGGCGUGGCAGAUUUGCAG
rnacentral:pre_miRNA from 1 species